GGACCUUAUUUGCCUUCAAUCUUUCCCUGGAGGAUUAAAUGGAGUAUGCUGUAUUUUUCUAGGUUGAACCCCCAACUACAGAGGUCGUGGCUAAUCACAGAGAAUCAAGCAGAAACAAGUUGGAACAGCACUGAAAAAUAAUCUGUUAAGGGACCUGGAGAAUGUGACUUGUUAUGGGUUCAUAGAGAUGUCAGAAAAGCAAGAAAUUAAAGGUCACGUUUAAAAAGAAA